rnacentral:rRNA from 1 species
GGUAUGUACUAGCUUGCUGAUUCCCUCCUUUCUUGUAGAACCGUAAUGCCAUUAAUUUGGUGUUGCGGGGAAACAGGACUGUUACUUUGAAAAAAUUAGAGUGUUUAAAGCAGGCUAGCGCCUGAAUACAUUAGCAUGGAAUAAUGAAAUAGGACGUUCGAACCUAUUUUGUUGGUUUCUAGGAUUGACGUAAUGAUUAAUAGGGAUAGUUGGGGGCAUUAGUAUUCAAUUGUCAGAGGUGAAAUUCUUGGAUUUAUCGAAGACUAACUACUGCGAAAGCAUUUGCCAAGGAUUGUUUUCAUUAAUCAAGAACGAAAGUUAGGGGAUCGAAGACGAUCAGAUACCGUCGUAGUCUUAACCAUAAACUAUGCCGACUAGGGGAUCGGAUGAUGUUA